UCGCAUUCUUGAUUCUCAACUUAAACAGGGGACGAGAUGUUCAUCUCUCUCUCUCUCUCUCUCAAGAUGGCCGUUCUUCAUCUUUCUCCAUUCAGGUGGAAAGGUCUUGGUCCCAUUUUACUGCACUCUGUAAUAAGUUAUCAAAAACCUGGUCUGCCAGUCCUAUGGAUUGCCCAUAAUGCUCGCCUCUUUGACGUCCCUUUUAUCAUUGAAGGAUUCAGUAGAUGCUCUAUGGGAGUUCCCUCAGGUUGGCUUUUCCUUGAAACACUUCCCUUUGCUUGUGAGGUGGUGAAAUCUGAAGUUAACAAAUGGUUCCAACUUGAACGCCUCUUCUUUAGUAACAGGCGAAAGAAUAGUUCACUCUGCACCAUGUUAAAACUCAAUGCUGCUGAAGAGAUUGUCACUUGUAAGUUACAGAUACCUUCUAGUGACGGAGAGGUUCAUCUAUGCCACCGGGAGCGAGGCUCGAAGGCCUCCCCAUUGCCCAUGCUUCCAGAGUCCUAAGCUGUGUUCGCGUCAACGAUAACAGCGGUGCACCCUUCAACUUGGAUGUUGCGCCCUACCACCUUAAGACACAGGAGCAUAGUGCACCCGGGAAUCGAAGUAAAGACCUGCCUUUUUAUAGGCCCCUAGCCCAACCAGCUACGCUAUGCCCCCUGAGGCUACAUAUACCUUAAAAGCAGCAACUUAAACUUGAAUUGCUGUUCAGUUCUUAUCACGAAAGUUAGAUAAUUGGUGAUGGAUCGGUGGAGCAGUGUAACUGGCACAUGUCAUCCACUACCAAGGAUCAAAGGUGCAGUUUGUAUCAUUGGCGUCCCUUUGCAUUCACUAUGACAUCCAACCUGCUGGUACAGCCCACGGAGCAAUGUCUGAUGUCCAUACACUGUCUUUGGUGCUUCAAAGGAUGACAUACGAUUUGUUGCUGAGCAUCUCAAUUCUUCUGCAAAGAUCUUUCAUAGCACCAGCUUAACUCCCUAGUUUAUGCAACCGUAAAUUACAAUAUGCUCCGUGUUAUGUGGUCUGCCCAUCUUCAUAUUUAAAUUAGUGGCAGAAAUCUCCUCCUUCUAUGGGUUGCUGGCUUCUACUGUGAAUCUGUGAUCACAGAAAGGUAUUUUAUUUUUGGACUACUGUCCCAUGCCCCAUUAUCAAGAAGGCAAACGUGCCAAGUGAAAGGUCCUGUCAAAGGUAUGUUGGCAGGCCUUCGAUCAGUAAAACUGUGAGGUUCCCUAUCCACAGAGAAACUGAGAUUUGGCCUGGCAGCAAUUGACCCCUUAUGAUUGGGUUUCAAGAUCUUCGUGGUGGCUUUCAUGAAUGAGGCUGUUGGUAUGAUGUCUUUCCCUUACCAGUUGAAUCUACUUUUACCGGUAUUGCAGCUACACCAUCUUUGUAUACGCUAGGCUUAGUUGGAACUCUACUAUAUUCUGGCUACAGGGACUUACCGUGGGUGGUGUCAAGACUUUCCUGACUAAAAGCAGUCUAAAUCAUACCCCUGCAUUUAAUAUUCAUAUUUAAAUAUAUAGCAGAGUGCUACUUUCCAGGAAAUUCUAUUGCCAAGAUUUAGUUUUUGCUCUUGAGGU